rfam:Papilio machaon contig45526, whole genome shotgun sequence.
UUACUCUGGUUUCCCUACAAAACGUAUAAAUCUUUCGCCUUUUACUAAAGAUUUCCGUGGAGGGGAACACUCAAAUGAGUCUGAAAUUAUUUUUGACACCCUACGUCCGUAGGGU